rnacentral:rRNA from 1 species
UACGGAGGGUGCAAGCGUUAUCCGGAUUCACUGGGUUUAAAGGGUGCGUAGGUGGAUCUAUAAGUCAGUGGUGAAAGCCCCGAGCUCAACUUGGGAAUUGCCAUUGAUACUGUAGGUCUUGAGUGCGGUUGAGGUAGGCGGAAUGUUGCAUGUAGCGGUGAAAUGCUUAGAUAUGCAACAGAACACCGAUUGCGGAGGCAGCUUACAAAGCCGAUACUGACACUGAGGCACGAAAGCGUGGGGAUCAAACAGG